rnacentral:piRNA from 1 species
UAGCAGACAGAACUAUGGAGCAUGAA